rnacentral:snRNA from 1 species
AGACGUAGCUGGCAGGGAAGACACCAUGGUCUCUAAGGGCUUUUCCCAGGGCGAGGCUCAUCCAUUGCCCUGAGGAUCUGCUCAGCCCUGCGAUUGCCCCACAGGGGGAAUACUGAGUGCAAAAUGUGUGUUGGUGGAGGGUUGAGGUCGCGGUUUCCCUGA